GGCCUCGUAGCUCAUUUGGCUAGAGCGUUGAGUGUAAUAAAGCCUUCCCCUUGUUGGCGUGGGAUCGAAUCCAACUGAGGCCG
rnacentral:tRNA from 1 species